CAGUCGCCGCGGUAAUACGUAGGUGGCAAGCGUUGUCCGGAAUUAUUGGGCGUAAAGGGCUCGCAGGCGGUUUCUUAAGUAUGAUGUGAAAGCCCCCGGCUCAACCGGGGAGGGUCAUUGGAAACUGGGAAACUUGAGUGCAGAAGAGGAGAGUGGAAUUCCACGUGUAGCGGUGAAAUGCGUAGAGAUGUGGAGGAACACCAGUGGCGAAGGCGACUCUCUGGUCUGUAACUGACGCUGAGGAGCGAAAGCGUGGGGAGCGAACAGGAUUAGAUACCCCCGUAGUCCCUGUCUCUUAUAC
rnacentral:rRNA from 1 species